rnacentral:rRNA from 1 species
GAGUUUGAUCCUGGCUCAGAACGAACGCUGGCGGCAUGCCUAACACAUGCAAGUCGAACGAGACCUUCGGGUCUAGUGGCGCACGGGUGCGUAACGCGUGGGAAUCUGCCCUCAGGUACGGAAUAGCUCAGGGAAACUUGAGCUAAUACCGUAUAAUGACUUCGGUCCAAAGAUUUAUCGCCUGAGGAUGAGCCCGCGUCGGAUUAGCUAGUUGGUGGGGUAAAAGCUCACCAAGGCGACGAUCCGUAGCUGGUCUGAGAGGAUGAUCAGCCACACUGGGACUGAGACACGGCCCAGACUCCUACGGGAGGCAGCAGUGGGGAAUAUUGGACAAUGGGCGCAAGCCUGAUCCAGCAAUGCCGCGUGAGUGAUGAAGGCCUUAGGGUU